rnacentral:lncRNA from 1 species
GGGACACAGCCUGCCACCUACUUUCCAAAUGCCUCCUUUCUCCCAAUAACCCCCACCCUCUCCCCAAAGACCUGGCAGUACUCCUGCAAGAGGAAGGGAUGGACGCCAGAAAAAGGGAGUGAAGGUCCUGCUGAUUCGGUCCUGGCUGAGGCCGAACGCAGGCCCCCCCUUCCCUUUGCCACCAAGAGGAGUCUAAGAUCUCCCUGGAGAACAUAUCUUGUAGAACCCCCUCCCCUUGAGUGUGGGCAGGGCCCGUGGACAUGAUGAGAUAUCACUCCCCUGAUUAGGUUGCUUUUCAGGAAAGAAGGGAUUUUGAAGAGGUAAAUAAGGUCCUAAAUCAGUUGACCUUGAGUUCACUGAAAGGGCGAUUAUCCUAGGUGGGCCUGGUCUAAUCAGGUGACCCUUUAAAAGGGAUUGGGCCUUUCCUGAAAUGAGAGCCUGGAAGCAUGAGGGGCCUAUGGAGAAGGCCAAGUGGCCUGAGAGUGGCCUCAAAGAGCUGAGAGUUGCCCCCUCCUGACAGCUAACAACGCAACAGAAACAGUCUAUCAACCACAAAGAACUGAAUUCUGAAUGAGCCUGGAAUGAGCUUGGAAGGGGAUCCGUCACCACACAAACCUUCGGAUGAGAAUGCAGCCCUGGCUCACAUCUCCGAGGUCAGAAGUUUGGACAUAGUGUGGCUGGGUCCUCUGUGCAGGGUCUUACCCAGCCACACUACAUCCAAACUUCUGACCUAUGGAACCAUGAGAUAAUAAAUGGGUGUCACUCUAAGCUACUGCAUUCAUGGUAGUUGUUACGCAGCCAUAGCUAGCUAAUACACUCUUUAUGUGCUGCAGACUAGAGCAUUCUGGGAUUUUAUGGUCAGCUUUCAAACUUAUUCAUACACAAGGGUUUGGACAUCAUGUCCCUCCACAAUCAGCCAAGCAACUCAGCAGUUUCCUCCUGAGUAUGUCUGAGUAUAUCAUCAAAAAGGUCUAAUGACUAUGACAUUAUCUGAUUGUCUCAACAGCACUGUGUGGGGCUGAGGAGGCAUAGCAGGCAUGAAGACCAGAGGAAGAAUGGUGCAUUUAGUAUUAGACAGCUUGACAUGCAUUAACCCCUUGAGAGGCAGGCACUGCCUAUUCUCCCCCCUUUCACAGACGAGGGCAUUGAGGUUCAGAAAAGCACAGAGAUGGCCCAGGGUCACAGAGCCAGUAGGUGGCAGAGUUGGGAGCCCAAGCCCUAAACUGCUGGUUAUGUCACCUCAUGAAGCCACUUAACCUCGCUAGGUCUCAGCAUCCUUAUCUGUCCAGUGACGAUCAUUCUUUCCUCACGAGUGGUUAUGAGAUGAAAUCAGAUAACUCAAGGCCUCUAGGCUGAGGGUCAGCAAACCUUUUCUGCAAAAGGCCACUGAGCUCUGUCCUUGUAGUAUGAAAGCAGUCACUGAUGACAGGUAAAUGAAUGUCUGUGGCCGUGUGCCAAUAAAACUUUAUUCAUAAAAACAGGAAGUGGAACAGAGAACUUGGCCCAGGGACCUGCAGUAUGUCUGUGGCUGUGUGCCAAUAAAACUUUAUUUAUACAAACAGGGAGUGGAGGGGGGAACUUGGCCCAGGGAGCUGCAGUUUGUCUGUGGCUGUGUGCCAAUAAAACUUCAUUUAUAAAAACAGGAAGUGGAGGGCCAGACUGGGCCUGGGGUGGGGGCACAGCAUGUCUGUGGCUGUAUGCCAAUAAAACUUUAUUUAUAAAAACAGGAACUAGAUGGGGGACUUGGCCUGGGGGCCACAGUUUUCGACCCCGGCUUUAGCAGUUUUUUCCUUCUUUUGCUAACUUCUAAAAUGAAGCCGACUGACCCUAGAAGUGCCAUUUCUGAAAGAGGAAGAGAGAAAAGGGGUGAAAGGACGUUGAACCAGCCAAGGCAGACUACAGCAUUUUCAGGGCGUCUCCCCAAGAUCUCCAAUAAGGACAACUAGCAUCGACUAGGCUAAUCCCGUGACGGCCUGUUCUGCGGGGACAUCAUCACCCUGGUGCUGCCCUCUCCCCCAUUCUCUAGAGAAAGGAGCCCCAAAAGAACAGAUAAACUCUGCCUCCUAGAAAGGGAAGUCUCUCACCGUCAGCACUGUGGACAUCGGGACUGGAUCCAUCUCUGGGGUGAGGCUGCCCUGGCACUGCAGGGUGCUGAGCAGAGUCCCUGGCCUCCACCCACUCCCUGCCAGGAGCACCCCUUAGUUACACUGAGCUAUGAUCGCACCACUGCACUCGCACCUGGGCAACAGAGUGAGACUCUGACUCUAAAAUAAUAAUAAUAACAAGAAUAUAAGAAUAAUAAUUCAGAUCCAUGUCCGAUAAAAAUAAUAAAUAAGUAAAGCUGA